UGUCUCCCUCUCUUUCACACACGCAAUUAUGAUAUCUAAUGUAUAUAUCUUUUUUAAAUCUGGGUUUCAGUUACGACAAAGAAGCUGUAGAAAUCAGCGCAAAGCUGCUUGAGAAACUACACUGCCUGGAACUCCAGAAUUAUAAUCCAGAAUUCUACACUGCCAGGAACUAUCGGAAACUUGAUGUUGAGUAUUUUCUGAGUCAACCCGGUUCCGAUCCUGUCUCUAUUCUGAAUGAGGAACUCCGCGUUGUGUUUCAUUCGACCGUUCAGAUAAAGAGCUUUUCUGCUGGUGAAGUGGACAUGUUUCUUUCAAUGUCCGCCUUGCAGCAGGUCUGUUAUGACUGCUAACUGAUACCAUUAGUGAGCUUCUCAACUUAAAAUCCGAAUAACAGUUCAAGACUCAGCACGCUUAUUAGUAAGUGAGAAAGGACACAAUUAUUAUCAAAUGAUUGUGGUCACUCGCCUCAAAGUGGUAAAUCAUGUACGUAUGAUGCAUUUCCUGUGACCUCAGUCCUAACCUGUUCGAGUCUCGGGGCUUAUUCUUGCACAGCUCUUUGCAAAUGUAUGCAAAGUUUGGUGAAGCGGACCCAUCUCGGCUACUAUUUGACCACCUUCAUCCAAAGGGUCUUAUUGCUCGGACUGCAAUGAUAUCUUCUUAUGCUCAAAUUGGGUACACGAGUGAGGCUCUCGAUAUAUUUAAGCCAUAUGCAAUUAGCAAACAGAAACCUAAUGAUAUCACUUUUGUCGGUUGCUAUUUAAAUAGGGAUGAUGUAUAAUUUUCUUUUGUGAGUUGCUAUUUAAAUAGGGAUUAUGUAUAAUUUUUCUUUAGAUGAACUUUGUGAACAAAUUUUGUGGCAUAUUAUUUUUGAUCAUUAGUUGUAAUAAAAGAAUUUAAAGUUCUAAUAUUAUCUCGCACGCAUCGCGUGCAUAUAAGACUAGUAAUAACUGUUCUAGCAGUCAAUAGUCUCAGCUAUUGUUGAGCAGUGUCAGUUGUAAGAUACUCCAUAGUAACUUGUGACUCCCUUAAACUCUUAAAGUAAUAACAGGAAAUUAAAAAGGCACCAUCUCUUAAGUGCUUGGUAGAACCUGCAAAUGCUCUAAUUUGUUGAUCUACCCUCUCUCCUUCCCCAACUGGUUGGUUAAGCUUACAGACUUACCUCAAUCUUGUACAAUAUAAGCCUCCAAUGACCUCGAAAGGAGAAAAUCCUUUACAAUACAAUAAAACUAAAAAAAUCUUAUUUUCAUGUAUACUAUUGCUAACCCCUACCUCCUCCUCCCCCUCCAUUGCACCACCACCCCAGCACCCUUCAACCGUCUUCCACCGUUGCUGGCCUCCACCUAUAUAUAUGCUGAAGGAAAUAAUGCCCUUGGUCCAAGUAUGCAUAUAAUGUUAAGUCUAAUAAAUGCGGUUCAGUAUUAAUUAACAAGUUAAUAAUUAAGUGAGAUCAAGUGAGCUGAAUGCCUAGCUAGAGGCCACUUCAGUUCAAGUGGAAUUAAUGAUAUUAAUCCACAGCAUACUCUUCACUGAACCCGUAGGGUCACACAACUAGUACGUAAACGUAUCAAGUAUUUAAUGGCAUUAAAUACUCUAUCUAUGGAUAUUCGGAAUCGACGGAUCUUGGUUUCAGUGGGAGCUAAGAUCGUCAAAGGCAAGCAAAUGAAUACUCCGGAAACGAUGAUAUUACCGGAAACGGAAAUAUGGAUCGUAUCGGAAAUAUAAAUAUUAUCCAAGUCGUAGAUGUUGCCGGAAACGGAAACAUGGUACGUAUCUGAAGAUAUUAAUGGAAACGGAAAUAUUGUCAGAAUCGAAAAUAUUAUCGGAAUCGGAAAAUAAUUCCGGAAACGGAAAUAUUAAAUAUUUGUUCGAAACGGAAAUUAAUUCCGGAAUCGGAAAUAUUAAAUAUUGUUCGUAUCGGAAAUAAAUUCCGGAAUCGGGAAUUUAAUCGGAAGCGCAUCGUACGAAUUAGCAUCGGACGAGGCUUGCUAGACGAAGGCCCAGCACGAAGCCAGGCCCGCGCCCAGCAAGCCAAGCGCCCAAACACGGAGCUGCCACAGCCUCGCCAGGCCCAGCGCAAGGCCAAAGGCGCGCGCGGGCUUAUGCUCGUGGGCUGCGAGGCAGCACCUGCUCGUGUGGGCCGCAAGGCCUUCGCGGGUGCGUGCGUUCCUCGUGGUCGUGCCACACUCGUGUUCGUAACGAAUCCUAAUCCUAUCGGAAUUCGUGCAUUGAUUAAAUCCUAAUCCUAAAAGAUUAAAUUUAUUAUUUAGAGUUCUAUUAGGAUUCUAAUUAAUAAAUCCAUAUCCUAGUAGGAUUAUAACUUCUUUCCAUAAACUCUAUAAAUAAGGGCCUAGGCUCACAUAUUUAACAGAAGAUAUUGAAGUAUUAAAAGGUAAGAUUUUUAAGCAAAAAUCAGCCAAACAUUUGCAACCCAAAUAGCCGAAAAUCCUAGUAACCUUAAGGGCGAUUCUAGUUGGUCAAGCUUAAGGCGGAUCCGGACGUACUGUGGACUAUCUACGGAGGGACGAAACUUGGAGUCCUAAAGACUUGUUCUUAUUCGGUUCGGGCGCAGCUAGGGAGGGCACGCUACAAAGUGUAUGCAUUUGAAUUAUGCUAAAUGAUUCUGUGUAAAUAAUAUGUUUCCUGGCUUUAUGGUUUUUCCGCAUGAUUUAUGUUUAUUCAUAUGUAUCAUAACCUAACAGUGGUAUCACGAGCCUCUUAUUAUUUUCAUAAUCUAAAUUGCAUGAACAUGGUUAAAUUUUACAAAUUUGCAAAGAAUUAAAAGGGGUGAUUAAUUUUCGUGAUUGUUAAUUAAUUGCAAAUUGCGUUUAUUUAAUUUUAUGUACGCAGUUUUACGGA